rnacentral:rRNA from 1 species
GGAUGCCUGUACCCGAAACCGACACAGGUAGGUAGGUAGAGUAUACCAAGGGGCGCGAGAUAACUCUCUCUAAGGAACUCGGCAAAAUUACCUCGUAACUUCGGAAGAAGAGGUACCCUUGCAAAAGGGUUGCAGUAAAUAGGCCCUGGCGACUGUUUACCAAAAACACAGGUCUCCGCUAAUUCGUAAGAUUAAGUAUGGGGGCUGACGCCUGCCCAGUGCCGGAAGGUUAAGGAAGUUGGUUAGUCUUUGACGAAGCUGGCGACCGAAGCCCCGGUGAACGGCGGCCGUAACUAUAACGGUCCUAAGGUAGCGAAAUUCCUUGUCGGGUAAGUUCCGACCCGCACGAAAGGCGUAACGAUCAGGGUGCUGUCUCGGAGAGAGGCUCGGCGUAAUAGACAUGUCUGUGAAGAUGCGGACUACCUGCACCUGGACAGAAAGACCCUAUGAAGCUUUACUGUAUCUUGGAAUUGGGUUUGGGCUUUGCUUGCGCAGGAUAGGUGGGAGGCUUUGAAGAUGUUCUUGCGGGAACAUUGGAGCCAAUGGUGAGAUACCACUCUAGUAAGGCUAAAAUUCUAACUUCGAACCGUUAUCCGGUCGAGGAACAGUUUCAGGUGGGCAGUUUGACUGGGGCGGUCGCCUCCUAAAAGGUAACGGAGGCGUGCAAAGGUUCCCUCAGGCUGGUCGGACAUCAGUCGUAGAGUGUAAAGGCAUAAGGGAGCUUGACUGCGAGACCUACAAGUCGAGCAGAGACGAAAGUCGGCCUUAGUGAUCCGACGGUUCCGAGUGGAAGGGCCGUCGCUCAACGGAUAAAAGUUACUCUAGGAUAACAGGCUGAUCUCCCCCAAGAGUUCACAUCGACGGGGAGGUUUGGCACCUCGAUGUCGGCUCAUCGCAUCCUGGGGCGGUAGUACGUCCCAAGGGUUGGGCUGUUCGCCCAUGAAAGCGGUACGCGAGCUGGGUUCAGAACGUCGUGAGACAGUUCGGUCCAUAUCCGGUGCAGGCGUUAGAGUAUUGAGAGGAGUUCCCCUUAGUACGAGAGGACCGGGGGAAAUACACCGCUGGUGUACCAGUUAUCGUGCCAACGGUAAACGCUGGGUAGCCAAGUGUAGAGUGGAUAACUGCUGAAGGCAUCUAAGUAGGAAGCCCACCUCAAGAUGAGUACUCUCACCGCUAUAAGCGGGUAAGAUCACGGCAAGAACAGCCGUUAUAUAGGCACCAAGUAUAAGUACAGCAAUGUAUUCAGCUGAGGUGUACUAACAGAUCGAGGGCUUGGU